GGGCGUGGUGGCGUGCGCCUGUAAUCUCAGCUACUCGGAAGGCUGAGGCAGCAGAAUCGCUUGAACCCAGGAGGCAGAGACUGCAAUGAGAUGCGAUUGUGCCACUGCACUCCAGCCUGGGCGACACAGCGAGACUCAGUCUCAAAAAUAAUAAUAAUAAUAACAAUAAUAAAUUUAAAAAAUGAAAAAAAUAAAAUUUGCUAAAAACAGUUCUGUCCUUUUUUUUUUUUUUUGAAACAGAGUCUCGCUCUGUCACCCAAGCUGGAGUGCAGUGGCACAAUCGCAUCUCAUUGCAGUCUCUGCCUCCUGGGUUCAAGCGAUUCUGCUGCCUCAGCCUU
rnacentral:SRP_RNA from 1 species